AAUGCCUAGGAAUCUGCCUGGUAGUGGGGGAUAACGUUCGGAAACGGACGCUAAUACCGCAUACGUCCUACGGGAGAAAGCAGGGGACCUUCGGGCCUUGCGCUAUCAGAUGAGCCUAGGUCGGAUUAGCUAGUUGGUGAGGUAAUGGCUCACCAAGGCGACGAUCCGUAACUGGUCUGAGAGGAUGAUCAGUCACACUGGAACUGAGACACGGUCCAGACUCCUACGGGAGGCAGCAGUGGGGAAUAUUGGACAAUGGGCGAAAGCCUAAUCCAGCCAUGCCGCGUGUGUGAAGAAGGUCUUCGGAUUGUAAAGCACUUUAAGUUGGGAGGAAGGGUUGUAGAUUAAUACUCUGCAAUUUUGACGUUACCGACAGAAUAAGCACCGGCUAACUCUGUGCCAGCAGCCGCGGUAAUACAGAGGGUGCAAGCGUUAAUCGGAAUUACUGGGCGUAAAGCGCGCGUAGGUGGUUUGUUAAGUUGGAUGUGAAAUCCCCGGGCUCAACCUGGGAACUGCAUUCAAAACUGACUGACUAGAGUAUGGUAGAGGGUGGUGGAAUUUCCUGUGUAGCGGUGAAAUGCGUAGAUAUAGGAAGG
rnacentral:rRNA from 1 species